GUCUACGGCCAUAUUACCCUGAACAAGACCAAUCCCAUCUGAUCUCAGAAGUUAAGCAGGGUCAGGCCUGGUUAGUACUCGGAUGGGAGACCACCUAGGAAGACCAGGUGCUAUAGGCA
rnacentral:rRNA from 1 species